rnacentral:rRNA from 1 species
GAUGAACGCUGGCGGCAGGCUUAACACAUGCAAGUCGAGCGGAGAUGAGGUGCUUGCACCUUAUCUUAGCGGCGGACGGGUGAGUAAUGCUUAGGAAUCUGCCUAUUAGUGGGGGACAACAUUCCGAAAGGAAUGCUAAUACCGCAUACGUCCUACGGGAGAAAGCAGGGGAUCUUCGGACCUUGCGCUAAUAGAUGAGCCUAAGUCGGAUUAGCUAGUUGGUGGGGUAAAGGCCUACCAAGGCGACGAUCUGAAGCGGGUCUGAGAGGAUGAUCCGCCACACUGGGACUGAGACACGGCCCAGACUCCUACGGGAGGCAGCAGUGGGGAAUAUUGGACAAUGGGGGAAACCCUGAUCCAGCCAUGCCGCGUGUGUGAAGAAGGCCUUAUGGUUGUAAAGCACUUUAAGCGAGGAGGAGGCUACUGAGACUAAUACUCUUGGAUAGUGGACGUUACUCGCAGAAUAAGCACCGGCUAACUCUGUGCCAGCCGCCGCCGUAA